rnacentral:rRNA from 1 species
CUGACCUCAAAUCAGGUAGGAUUA